rnacentral:rRNA from 1 species
AACGAACGCUGGCGGCAUGCCUAAUACAUGCAAGUCGAACGAGAUCUUCGGAUCUAGUGGCGCACGGGUGCGUAACGCGUGGGAAUCUGCCCUUGGGUUCGGAAUAACGUCGGGAAACUGACGCUAAUACCGGAUGAUGACGAAAGUCCAAAGAUUUAUCGCCCAGGGAUGAGCCCGCGUAGGAUUAGCUAGUUGGUGGGGUAAAGGCUCACCAAGGCUACGAUCCUUAGCUGGUCUGAGAGGAUGAUCAGCCACACUGGGACUGAGACACGGCCCAGACUCCUACGGGAGGCAGCAGUAGGGAAUAUUGGACAAUGGGGGCAACCCUGAUCCAGCAAUGCCGCGUGAGUGAUGAAGGCCUUAGGGUUGUAAAGCUCUUUUACCCGAGAUGAUAAUGACAGUAUCGGGAGAAUAAGCUCCGGCUAACUCCGUGCCAGCAGCCGCGGUAAUACGGAGGGAGCUAGCGUUGUUCGGAAUUACUGGGCGUAAAGCGCACGUAGGCGGCGAUUUAAGUCAGAGGUGAAAGCCCGGGGCUCAACCCCGGAACUGCCUUUGAGACUGGAUUGCUAGAAUCUUGGAGAGGCGGGUGGAAUUCCGAGUGUAGAGGUGAAAUUCGUAGAUAUUCGGAAGAACACCAGUGGCGAAGGCGGCCCGCUGGACAAGUAUUGACGCUGAGGUGCGAAAGCGUGGGGAGCAAACAGG